GGCUAGGUAGCUCAGAGGAAGAGCAGGCGCCUGUUAAGCGUCAGGUCGAGAUAUCGUAAUUCUCCCUAGCCU
rnacentral:tRNA from 4 species